GCCUACCAUGGUGGUAACGGGUAACGGGGAAUUAGGGUUCGAUUCCGGAGAGGGAGCCUGAGAAACGGCUACCACAUCCAAGGAAGGCAGCAGGCGCGCAAAUUACCCAAUCCCGACACGGGGAGGUAGUGACAAUAAAUAACAAUACGGGGCUCUUUCGGGUCUCGUAAUUGGAAUGAGUACAAUUUAAAUCCCUUAACGAGGAACAAUUGGAGGGCAAGUCUGGUGCCAGCAGCCGCGGUAAUUCCAGCUCCAAUAGCGUAUAUUAAAGUUGUUGCAGUUAAAAAGCUCGUAGUUGAAUUUCGGGAUUGACACAUCGGUCGUGCCUUAAGGGGUAUGAACUGGUGUAGUCAAUUUCUCACCUUCUGGAGAACCGCAAUGCCCUUAAUUGGGUGUCGCGGGGAACCAGGACCUUUACUUUGAAAAAAUUAGAGUGUUUAAAGCAGGCAUUUUGCUUGAAUACAUUAGCAUGGAAUAAUAAAAUAGGACGGCAUGAUUCUAUUUUGUUGGUUUCUAGGAUCACCGUAAUGAUUAAUAGGGAUAGUUGGGGGCAUUAGUAUUCAAUUGUCAGAGGUGAAAUUCUUGGAUUUAUUGAAGACUAACUACUGCGAAAGCAUUUGCCAAGGAUGUUUUCAUUAAUCAAGAACGAAAGUUAGGGGAUCGAAGACGAUCAGAUACCGUCGUAGUCUUAACCAUAAACUAUGCCGACUAGGAAUCAGACGAUGUUAAUUUUUUAAUGACUCGUUUGGCA
rnacentral:rRNA from 1 species